rnacentral:rRNA from 1 species
GGGUUGUGAGGUUAAGCGACUAAGCGUACACGGUGGAUGCCCUGGCAGUCAGAGGCGAUGAAGGACGUGCUAAUCUGCGAAAAGCGUCGGUAAGGUGAUAUGAACCGUUAUAACCGGCGAUGUCCGAAUGGGGAAACCCAGUGCAAUUCGUUGCACUAUCGUUAACUGAAUACAUAGGUUAACGAGGCGAACCGGGGGAACUGAAACAUCUAAGUACCCCGAGGAAAAGAAAUCAACCGAGAUUCCCCCAGUAGCGGCGAGCGAACGGGGAGCAGCCCAGAGUCUGAAUCAGCUUGUGUGUUAGUGGAACGGUCUGGAAAGUCCGACGGUACAGGGUGAUAGUCCCGUACACCAAAAUGCACAGGCUGUGAACUCGAAGAGUAGGGCGGGACACGUGGUAUCCUGUCUGAAUAUGGGGGGACCAUCCUCCAAGGCUAAAUACUCCUGACUGACCGAUAGUGAACCAGUACCGUGAGGGAAAGGCGAAAAGAACCCCGGCGAGGGGAGUGAAAAAGAACCUGAAACCGUGUACGUACAAGCAGUGGGAGCACCUUCGGGUGUGACUGCGUACCUUUUGUAUAAUGGGUCAGCGACUUAUAUUCUGUAGCAAGGUUAACCGUAUAGGGGAGCCGCAGGGAAACCGAGUCUUAACUGGGCGUUAAGUUGCAGGGUAUAGACCCGAAACCCGGUGAUCUAGCCAUGGGCAGGUUGAAGGUUGGGUAACACUAACUGGAGGACCGAACCGACUAAUGUUGAAAAAUUAGCGGAUGACUUGUGGCUGGGGGUGAAAGGCCAAUCAAACCGGGAGAUAGCUGGUUCUCCCCGAAAGCUAUUUAGGUAGCGCCUCGUGAACUCAUCUUCGGGGGUAGAGCACUGUUUCGGCUAGGGGGUCAUCCCGACUUACCAACCCGAUGCAAACUACGAAUACCGAAGAAUGUUAUCACGGGAGACACACGGCGGGUGCUAACGUCCGUCGUGAAGAGGGAAACAACCCAGACCGCCAGCUAAGGUCCCAAAGUCAUGGUUAAGUGGGAAACGAUGUGGGAAGGCACAGACAGCCAGGAUGUUGGCUUAGAAGCAGCCAUCAUUUAAAGAAAGCGUAAUAGCUCACUGGUCGAGUCGGCCUGCGCGGAAGAUGUAACGGGGCUAAACCAUGCACCGAAGCUGCGGCAGCGACACUAUGUGUUGUUGGGUAGGGGAGCGUUCUGUAAGCCUGCGAAGGUGUGCUGUGAGGCAUGCUGGAGGUAUCAGAAGUGCGAAUGCUGACAUAAGUAACGAUAAAGCGGGUGAAAAGCCCGCUCGCCGGAAGACCAAGGGUUCCUGUCCAACGUUAAUCGGGGCAGGGUGAGUCGACCCCUAAGGCGAGGCCGAAAGGCGUAGUCGAUGGGAAACAGGUUAAUAUUCCUGUACUUGGUGUUACUGCGAAGGGGGGACGGAGAAGGCUAUGUUAGCCGGGCGACGGUUGUCCCGGUUUAAGCAUGUAGGCUGGUUGUCCAGGCAAAUCCGGAUAAUCAAGGCUGAGGUGUGAUGACGAGGCACUACGGUGCUGAAGUAACAAAUGCCCUGCUUCCAGGAAAAGCCUCUAAGCAUCAGGUAACAUCAAAUCGUACCCCAAACCGACACAGGUGGUCAGGUAGAGAAUACCAAGGCGCUUGAGAGAACUCGGGUGAAGGAACUAGGCAAAAUGGUGCCGUAACUUCGGGAGAAGGCACGCUGGUGUGUAGGUGAAGUCCCUGCGGAUGGAGCUGAGACCAGUCGAAGAUACCAGCUGGCUGCAACUGUUUAUUAAAAACACAGCACUGUGCAAACACGAAAGUGGACGUAUACGGUGUGACGCCUGCCCGGUGCCGGAAGGUUAAUUGAUGGGGUUAUCCGUAAGGAGAAGCUCUUGAUCGAAGCCCCGGUAAACGGCGGCCGUAACUAUAACGGUCCUAAGGUAGCGAAAUUCCUUGUCGGGUAAGUUCCGACCUGCACGAAUGGCGUAAUGAUGGCCAGGCUGUCUCCACCCGAGACUCAGUGAAAUUGAACUCGCUGUGAAGAUGCAGUGUACCCGCGGCAAGACGGAAAGACCCCGUGAACCUUUACUAUAGCUUGACACUGAACAUUGAGCCUUGAUGUGUAGGAUAGGUGGGAGGCUUUGAAGCGUGGACGCCAGUCUGCGUGGAGCCAACCUUGAAAUACCACCCUUUAAUGUUUGAUGUUCUAACGUUGGCCCCUUACCGGGGUUGCGGACAGUGUCUGGUGGGUAGUUUGACUGGGGCGGUCUCCUCCCAAAGCGUAACGGAGGAGCACGAAGGUUAGCUAAUCCUGGUCGGACAUCAGGAGGUUAGUGCAAUGGCAUAAGCUAGCUUGACUGCGAGCGUGACGGCGCGAGCAGGUGCGAAAGCAGGUCAUAGUGAUCCGGUGGUUCUGAAUGGAAGGGCCAUCGCUCAACGGAUAAAAGGUACUCCGGGGAUAACAGGCUGAUACCGCCCAAGAGUUCAUAUCGACGGCGGUGUUUGGCACCUCGAUGUCGGCUCAUCACAUCCUGGGGCUGAAGUAGGUCCCAAGGGUAUGGCUGUUCGCCAUUUAAAGUGGUACGCGAGCUGGGUUUAGAACGUCGUGAGACAGUUCGGUCCCUAUCUGCCGUGGGCGCUGGAGAAUUGAGGGGGGCUGCUCCUAGUACGAGAGGACCGGAGUGGACGCAUCACUGGUGUUCGGGUUGUCAUGCCAAUGGCACUGCCCGGUAGCUAAAUGCGGAAGAGAUAAGUGCUGAAAGCAUCUAAGCACGAAACUUGCCCCGAGAUGAGUUCUCCCUGAGACUUUAAGUCUCCUGAAGGAACGUUGAAGACGAUGACGUUGAUAGGCCGGGUGUGUAAGCGCAGCGAUGCGUUGAGCUAACCGGUACUAAUGAACCGUGAGGCUUAACCUUACAACGCCGAAG